UGUCACUGGCUUCCCUGGAUAAGUCCCUAGAAGUGGACCUACAUUUCAGCCUACUAGGAGCUUGUCAAGCAGGAAGACAUGAGAAUCCAAAAUCAUCUGCGCCUUCCCUGGAUACUAGGCGACCUGCGCUCCAAUCCAUGGUGGAAAUGAAAUGUCACGAGUGCAAAAGACUCUACUGUGAGCUUGUCAAGCAGGAGGACAUGAGAAUCUAGAAAGCAAAUGGUCCUCCUCACCAGCAACAUGCUGGAUUCAGGCACUUACGUGGUCGGAUUAUAGCACGUGGAACAUGCACUGCGGAGGUAAACCAUUUACAAGACAAGACCAACAUGGCGUUCCGUACCACAACAUCUGACCUUGCAGAUGUACUCCGUUAUUCAUUGCGUUACAGCCGGCAUACUAAAGCGACAUAAUAAAAGCCCGUUAAC